AGUUUCGGCAUACAAUAUUUUUUAAAGCGCGCUGAAAGUGUUGUCUUUGUUUGGUGGACAUAUAUAUAUAUUAUACUUUCAAAUUGACAAUGGACGCUGAAGGUGGUUAUGGUGGAAAUGGCACAUCUAGCCCAGAUAAUACAUUUGACCAGAGAUCAAGAUCACGAUCUCCUGUUGAACGUAACAAAGAAAGAGACAGAAAAGACUAUUCUAGGGAUAGAGGAGGUGAUAGACGUCAGCAAAGACUGUCUGGCUUCAGACGUGUAUAUGUAGCUAACAUUCCUUUUGAAUCUAAAUGGACAGACAUUAAAGAUCUGUUUAGAGAGCAAGUUGGAGAUGUUUCAUAUGUGGAGUUAUUCAAUGAUGAAAAUGGCAAAUUUAGAGGAUGUGGAAUUGUUGAAAUGAAAGAUGAAACUGCCGCACAGAAAGCCAUUGACUUACUGCAUAGGUAUGAAUACAAGGGAAGAAGUUUGGUGGUGAAAGAGGAUGAUGAUGUUGAGAGAGACAGAUAUGGUAGACCUUUAAAAGGCACCAGAGAAAGAACUAUUUCUCUAAAUAGCAACUUUGGAGGAGGGAUGGAUGUAGUUCUGGGAGGAAUGGGAAGUGAAACAUCCUCUCAAUUCAACACUUAUGGAUUGAGUCCACAGUUUCUCAGGUCACUUGGAAUUGAUGGACCUUUGUGUAACAGAGUUUUUGUUUCAAAUCUGGAAUACAAAGUAACAGAGGAUAAACUGGAAGAGAUUUUUAAGUUGGCAGGCAAGGUGAACAAAGUCGAUCUUAAAAAGGAUAAAGAUGGAGGAAGCAGGGGUUGUUGUGUUAUUUCUUAUGAACAUCCCGCUGAAGCUGUGCAGGCCAUUUCCAUGUUUAAUAACCAGAAGCUGUAUAGUCGUACCAUGAGUGUUCGAAUGGAUAAAAUGAAUGAUGAAUUUGAUGGUUUACCAUCGAAGCUACCAGGUGGUCUUCAAGGAAUUGGAAAAGGCCUCGGAUCAAGUGGUCAACCUCUCAAUAUUACCAGUUUGGUUACUGCAGCCAGUCUUGGAGCAGGAAUGCUUGGUGGUGGACUUGGAUUAAUGGGAAUGAAUUCCAUGAAUGCAGGUGUGGGCAACAUGGGCACAGGAAUGGGAGGAGUUGGAAUGGGCAUGAGCACUGGAAACUUGAGUAACAUGAUGGCAAGUCAGUCAGUUGGAGGUAUGGGUGGAUUGAAUGCAGCUAUGCAAAUGGGUGUCACUGGAGAUCAAGGAAUGAUGAGUUCCGGAAUAGGUGGAGGCUUGUCUGGAGCAAUGGGCACUGGUAUGAACAUGGUUUCAGCAGCAGGACUUGGAAUGAGCAAUAAUAGUACUGGUAGUGGUAACAUGAUGGGAGUUAUGGGAGGUCUCGACCUUGGCACUGGAGGUACUGGGAAUUUAGGAGGUGGGAUGAAUAACUUUGGAGAUACAGAUCGCCUAAAUUUUGAAAGCCGAUUAAGGGGCUCGGAUACCAUCACUGUCAAAAAUCUUCCCCAUUCAUACAACUGGCAGUCAUUGCGUGAUAAAUUCAAGGAUGUUGGUGACGUGAGAUAUGUAGAAUUCAAGAAGGGAAUUGCUUAUAUACGUUUCAGUUCGGAACGGGAUGCACAGCGUGCAGUUGAUCUAAUGGAUGGAGCUCGAAUUCAUGGGCGCUCAUUGGAGGUUCAACUUUACUGAGCACAAACUUUUGUUACAGAAGAAAUAACUUGUGCAGGUGGUCAGAAAAGUAGCAGUUUCAUUUUGGUGAUGAUUCAGCUGUAAGAUUUUUUUUGUGUAUCAGAACUUUUUAAAGUCAGGAAUUUGGAUUUAUCCAACUGAAUAUUGCUUGAUUUGAAUCCUACACCUCUUGCACACCAGGCAAGUGCUCUACCAAGUUAAGAGGUUAUUCCACUAGUGCUUACUAGCAAGCCACUAUUUAGCAACUAAUUCAAACUAUCACACACAAAUAUCAUAAUGACAAUCAAACUGCAACGACUUUUAUGCAGAUAUCAACAAAUGAAAGAGAUAUGCUGAAUUGGACAUUGAAUCAUCAGACCAAUUCAAGUCAGAAGGGUGCCAUACAAAUAAACUAAUUGAUGCAAAGCUGCUUGGACUCUGAUCAACAUGUGUAUGGAGAGAUGGAGAAAUAAGAAGCUUUUGAAAGUUUUAAAUGACAGAUUCCUUCCCCCAUUGCCCCAUGGUGUUUGCCUGACUUUUGAUUGUGCCAAGAUGAUUCUUACACGUUACCAACUGAGAGGUGGUUUACAUUUCAUUACCCAGUUUUUCAGUUAGAGGGCUUGGAAUAUAUACUUAAGUGCUACGAGUGACACAUAUUUACCUAAGAACAUAGAACGUAUGUCUCUCUGUGCUAGGCUGAUUCUCACUUAAGGUUCUAAUUAACAUUUGGGCUACUUUCUAAGGCCCAAAAAGUGGGAGUAUGUGAAUUAACUUUUUCACCACAGGGCUAAGAACGUAUUCUAGUAACGUUUUUCUUUCUUUUAAAUUAUCAAGUAAAAAUAAUUCAACGUCCAGUCCAUUUGAUGAGACAAAAUCUGUUUAUUUCCUCAUUCAUACGUUUAUAUAGACUUGAAGUUGAACACAGUUAUAAAGUGUGGUGAAUUGUUGCUACAAAUGAUGCAGUACCUCCAACAAUAGUACUAGGACUAAUGUGCAAUCAGUCUACUUUCUUGUUCAAUGUAGUGCAAUAAUUUAUUUCAACUAACUUUUAACACAACUAACUCGAUGUUUACAGAAUGUCAUUUUGUAAACUGUUUGCUCAAGAGGUUUCUGGGACUAACGUGAACUUAACAUCACCUCAUCAAAAAUCCCCGGCUCCCUCUGUCUAGGAAAUAAAUUGUAAUAUUAAAAAUACAGCGUAUAACAGUAUGGCUGUGCUUGGCUGAUUCUCAUAUAAUUUGUUACAAACUGACAAACGUGAGUCCAUGUUUGUGUGGAAUUUCGCGCAAAGUUACUCGAGGGCUAUCUGCGAUAGCCGUACCUAAUUUAGCAGUGUAAGACUAGAGGGAA